rnacentral:lncRNA from 1 species
UUCAAGCUUCAGCGGUACUAGGAGGAAAUUUGAGCCCUAUAGUCUCCAAAUAAAUCAAUAAGAGAUGUUUCCCGAUUGUCCAGCCGAUUCAACAGAAUAAAAAUGUCAGUAGACAUAAAAAAUACCCCCCUUCCCACCCAAUAAAGGAAAGCAAACCUAAAAAAAAAAAAACCAAGUUUUGAGAAAAUACGAUAGCCAAAACAGAAAAGCUAGAAGUCGAUGGAUGAAAGAAAAUAAAGCCUCGAUACGCAUGCACUAAGACCUAGAAUAGCUAACCACUAACCAAAAUGGACGGAAAUGAGAAAGAAACAAACAGGAAGCAUAUUAAAUUAAAUAGAUACUAACAAAUCGGAUAUCAGGAAGUAAUAAAAGAAAGAAAGUAGUCAGUAUAAACGAAAAUGAGGGAUGAAGAAAUCGGAAAAGAUAAAUAAGAAUUAGCUUAGAAAUAUCUAAGAAAGAAACGAGUAGGUUCAAGUAAUACAAACAUGUAAAAACGUAUAUUGGAUGCAGAGAGAGAGAGAGAUAGCAUACCAACGACAGCUUCCAUGUAGGGAAACUCCAUGAUGAAACAACGAAAAUGCAAUGCAGUCGAGAGCAGGAAGACGGGAUCACGGUACAGAAACAGAGAGAAGGGCAGGCAGAAGGGUUUUGGAAUUAUGAACUGAAUUUCGUGAUAUAUAGACGUAAUAAUUAUGUUGAAGCAGCAACCCGGGCGUGGAUCCAAUAACCGGAACCCGGAACAGCCGCACAAAAACCGGUUUAUUAUCUUCAGCAAAUUUAGCAGACAAAAAUGCACUCGAACAUCACGCGUUAAAUUGUUUUUUUUUUUUUUUUUUUUUUUGUGACAGUAAUAAUUAAAUACGUUAUAAAAAAUAUCACAUUUCAGAAAGUAUAUUUUAU